rnacentral:tRNA from 1 species
GAAGGCUUAGCCGAAAGAUUCGGGGUAGCGGCAACGGUCUUGAAAACCGUCGGGGCAUGGGAAUGCCUGUUAGGGUUCGAAUCCCUAGUCUUCC